rnacentral:rRNA from 1 species
ACUGAACGCUGGCGGCAGGCCUAACACAUGCAAGUCGAACGAGUGGCGGACGGGUGAGUAAUUUCUGGGAACCUGCCUGAUGUAGGGGGAUAACUACUGGAAACGGUAGCUAAUACCGCAUACCAUCAGAUGUGCCCAGAUGGGAUUAGCUAGUUGGUGGGGUAACGGCUCACCAAGGCGACGAUCCCUAGCUGGUCUGAGAGGCUGACCGGCCACACUGGAACUGAGACACGGCCCAGACUCCUACGGGAGGCAGCAGUGGGGAAUAUUGCGCAAUGGGCGAAAGCCUGAUGGAGCCAUGCCGCGUGAAUGAAGAAGGCCUUCGGGUUGUAAAGUACUUUCGGCGGGGAGGCGUUACCCGCAGAGGAAGCACCGGCUAACUCCGUGCCAGCAGCCGCGGUAAUAC